GACGAACGCUGGCGGCGUGCUUAACACAUGCAAGUCGAACGGAAAGGCCCUGCUUUUGUGGGGUGCUCGAGUUGCGAACUGGUGAGUAACACUUGAGUAACCUGCCCUUGACUUUGGGAUAACUUCAUGAAACUGGGGCUCAUACCGGAUAGGAGCUCCUGCUGCAUGGUGGGGGUUGGAAAGUUUCGGCGGUUGGGGAUGGACUCGCGGCUUAUCAGCUUGUUGGUGGGGUAGUGGCUUACCAAGGCUUUGACGGGUAGCCGGCCUGAGAGGGUGACCGGCCACAUUGGGACGGAGAUACGGCCCAGACUCCUACGGGAGGCAGCAGUGGGGAAUAUUGCACAAUGGGCGGAAGCCUGAUGCAGCAACGCCGCGUGCGGGAUGACGGCCUUCGGGUUGUAAACCGAUUUCGCCUGUGACGAAGCGUGAGUGACGGUAAUGGGUAAAGAAGCACCGGCUAACUACGUG
rnacentral:rRNA from 1 species